rnacentral:tRNA from 1 species
GGGUCCAUAGGUCAGUUGGUAGAGCAUUUGACUGCAGAUCAAGAGGUCACCAGUUUGAAUCCGGUUGGGCCCU